rnacentral:piRNA from 1 species
GAGACCUGGAACCCCUACAGAUUGUGAGA